rnacentral:rRNA from 1 species
UCGAGGGGCAUCGGGGCGAGGAGCAAUCCUUGCCGCCGGCGACCGGCGCACUGGUGAGUAACGCGUAUGCGACCUGCCCGUUGCAGGGGGAUAAUCGGGAGAAAUCCCGUCUAAUACCGCGUAACGCCGCGGGGCUGCAUGGCCCUGCGGCCAAAGGGAGCGAUUCCGGCAACGGAUGGGCAUGCGUGACAUUAGCUAGUUGGCGGGGCAACGGCCCACCAAGGCGACGAUGUCUAGGGGUUCUGAGAGGAAGGUCCCCCACACUGGUACUGAGACACGGACCAGACUCCUACGGGAGGCAGCAGUGAGGAAUAUUGGUCAAUGGGCGCGAGCCUGAACCAGCCAAGUCGCGUGAGGGAUGACGGCCCUACGGGUUGUAAACCUCUUUUGUCGGGGAGCAAAUUCCGCCACGUGUGGCGGAGUCGAGAGUACCCGAAGAAAAAGCAUCGGCUAACUCCGUGCCAGCAGCCGCGGUAAUACGGAGGAUGCGAGCGUUAUCCGGAUUUAUUGGGUUUAAAGGGUGCGUAGGCGGACUGUCAAGUCAGCGGUAAAAUACGGGGGCUCAACCUCCGCCCGCCGUUGAAACUGACGGUCUUGAGUGGGCGAGAAGUAUGCGGAAUGCGUGGUGUAGCGGUGAAAUGCAUAGAUAUCACGCAGAACUCCGAUUGCGAAGGCAGCAUACCGGCGCCCAACUGACGCUGAAGCACGAAAGCGUGGGUAUCGAACAGGAUUAGAUACCCUGGUAGUCCACGCAGUAAACGAUGAAUA